UAAAAGGGCAAAAGUAUAAAAGAAAAUCCUGAAGAAAAGGAUACUCGACAUUUUCAGCUCAUUGGGGGACUUUCCAAGUUAUCUUCUAUGUCACAGUUCAAAAGCACCAACUCAACUGAAUCGUCUUCUCUUAUGAAAAGAAGGUAAAAAUGUGGACUACAUGAUCAGGCAGUAGAAAUAGUGACCACUAGUGGACUAAUAGAAGUGGGGGGUGGGCAGACAAAGGGAGACAGAGACCGAGAAAAGAAGGUAAUGGACUCAUAAUCAUAUCUCAGAACGUGGUUUGCUGCAGUCAAUACUCUUUUAACAGACAUGCUCAGGUGAUGGGCAGCGAUCAGCAGCCCAAGAGCUAACUGUUCCUCUCUUCUCCACAGAUCUCAGGCUUGAGCGUUGGUUUUUGGGUUACUCUACUGUGACAGAGAAGGUGAUAUGUGUGUGUGCUGUUCUUCACGUGGGGUGCAUAGCUCCGGUAUCGGAAAAACAGGUUAAAAACAACCCUUAGACAGAAGAGACCGUCUGAGCAGAACUGAUGAGGGGAAGAGAUUUCAGCUGGCUGAGGAGGAAGGUCAGGAGGUGGCUGUGGAGAUAAGACCAUGGAUUUAAUUUCCUAUCGAUUUCAACUUCAGGAGGAAGAGGUUGCCUUCGCAGCAGGAUGUGCCGUCCUGCAGAAGUCUGCGUUUUUGUUUUCACAGGGACUCCCCUCCCCUCCCUCCUGCAGCCUGUCUUUUUGCAUGGAUGCUCUGUUGGGGGAACUUGAAGGGUCUCAUUGAUUGCCAAGGCUAUGGAUGGAGCACAGACUGCAUGUGGUGAAAAGCCCCGUUGUGUGGUGACCAGAAAACCCCUUGCAGGAGCAGAGGAGGCUUCCCUCAGUCACAGGAUUGUCUUUCUAGCAUCCUAGGCAGCCGUGACAAGAUUCCCGUGACUGGGUAAUUGAUAAGCAAGAGGAACUUACUGCUUGGAAGGAGGCUUCAAAGUAAAGGUAUUAGCAGGCAGUGUCUGACAAGGCCCCUUUCUUGGCUCACAGGUUGCCUGGUUGCUUUGCCCUCACAUCAUGGAAAGGAGAAAGCGUGUUUCCUCCACUCCAUGGGUCUCUUUUAAAAAGGCAUUAAUCACCUCCCAGGGACCUAGCUCCAAACAUCCUGGUGGGUAGCUUGCAACAUGAAUUUGGGGUGACAAAAAUAUCAGUGCAGUAAGCAAGAGGAAUGUCUCCCUGUUCAUCGCAGGUGCAUUAUUACCGAUUACAAGGGAGAUUCUUUGGGAAUGGGGAAGGGACUUGGGGUAGCAGUUGGAUUGACAAUCCAAUGGUAUCAAUGACACUCUCAUACCACUUUCUAGAAAGGAUAUUUGUCUCAUUUUAGUGAUUGCGCUUCAUCCUCCCUCCAUCAAAGAUCUUCCCACUGGUGACUCUGGCUUCCAUUGGCCUUACGUGAGUUCCCUGCCAGAAUUUUUUCUUUGAGUUUGGUUUUCUUGCCUCUACCCUGUGCGCUCCAUACAGGCCUUCACAUAAGACUUCAGAUCAGACAGACCUGGGUUCAAAUCCCACCUCGGAUAUGUCUCUCGAUAGCUUUGUGGCUUUGGCCAAGUUGUUUAAUGUUCUUGCUGUCUGAGCCUGAAUGUCUGGCUCUGAAAAGUAGUAGGAAAGUUCUUUUUCCUCAUUGGUAUUUGUGAGGAGCCUUUAUAUGGCAGACAUAUAAUAAGGAAAUUAUUCAUAGGUUCCUACAAAACUAACAACUCUGUGACACCCACAUUAGCACUGGCUCCUUAACAGCUCACGAAGUGAAAGAGAAAAAAAAUUACAUAUCUGAAAUGCCAGAGAUAGAGUGAGAGGCAAAAUUGGGACCGAAUCCAGGCUACCCAAAGCCUGGCCAUGUAACCACUGUGCCAGUCUCCCUCCCCAUGUUGUUUCUUACAGUUGACUUUAUCCAGUGAUGACAAACGUUCCCAACAGACAGCAGGCCUCAGAGUGCAGCUGAGCUAAAAGCAAGUUAAAUGGUGUUGGAUGGCAAUGAGUUGGAAGGAGUAAUGGCCAAGUCUUGCCUAAGACGGUGGGAGAGGUCUCAGGACGGAGUGGAGGCGUCUUGUUCCCAGUACUUUAUGCAGGCUGAGAUGGUCUCUUCCCAGCCACUGUGAUCCCAGCAUCUCAGACUUGCCUGGCUGCCCCCCCACCUGAAGCUAAGGGAAGAAACCAGGCCCAAGAAUCAGAAGUUCCAUGCUUCUAAGAUGUCCUCGAGUAGCAGGUUAUGUUCUGGCUUCUUGUGGUCUGACAGAGCAUAUCGGAUUUCUUACAUAAAAUGUAGAGUUGUCAACAUUCAGAUGCUUCAAUGGCCAAGACUGUGGUAUUCAGUUUCUAUCAGCAUGUACAGGAUAUCCUGCCUGGUUUUGACCUCAGGGUAAGUCAGCUGUAAUUUUGGAAGAAGGUACUGUCACAUAGAGCACUGAGACAGUGCCAUUGGUGGUACAGAAGAAGCCACUUGUCCAGGACAUUUCUCCGUUGUUGAGUCAAAUUAUGCAAUAGUUCUAUCCACUCUUCACCCCAAUCCCUGAUAGAUUUUAGUGUUUUUUGUUUGUUUUCUCACAGAGAAGAAUGACGGAGAAUGCCUAGGGGGAACUUGUGAACUUUACCUGUCAGAUCUUUCCUCCUGGUGUGAUGUGACGUGCUCUCUCUCACCUCUCAGGAAGCAACGGUGAGAUUUCAUAGCUCACUGUCUUCUGGUUGGAGCAAAGGGGUGGCAAACAGAGGUCAAGUUUGGGUCAUGGGGAAACUGGGAAAAUCCAUUCAAAAUGCUCCUUGCCAUGUGUGAGGAGUACAGUGGCUCCCAAAAACAGUCGCUUGCUGUGUCUUCUUCUAGGAUGCGUUAACAGCCCUUGUUGGAAGGACAUUUUUAGACGAUCUACAUGACAGGAUGACAUACACUGA
rnacentral:sRNA from 1 species